rnacentral:rRNA from 1 species
CGUAGGGGGCAAGCGUUGUCCGGAUUUACUGGGCGUAAAGAGCGUGUAGGCGGCCACGCAGGUCCGUUGUGAAAACUGGAGGCUCAACCUCCAGCCGUCGACGGAAACCGUGUGGCUAGAGUCCGGAAGAGGAGAGUGGAAUUCCUGGUGUAGCGGUGAAAUGCGCAGAUAUCAGGAAGAACACCAAUGGCGAAGGCAGCUCUCUGGGACGGUACUGACGCUGAGACGCGAAAGCGUGGGGAGCGAACAGGAUUAGAUACCCUGGUAGUCCACGCCGUAAACGAUGGGUGCUAGGUGUGGGAGGUGUCGACUCCUUCCGUGCCGUAGCUAACGCAUUAAGCACCCCGCCUGGGGAGUACGGCCGCAAGGCUA